rnacentral:misc_RNA from 1 species
GUGAAUCAUCGAAUUUUUGAACGCAAAUUGCACUCUCUUCGAAGAGUAUGCCUAUUUGAGGUUCAGCCUAAAAAAAAUCAACGGAAUCUCUGUUUCGCGUUUGCAUGCGUCGGAAAUUGAGUCAUCUUAAACCUGUGGUUUUUUUAAUCUGCUUAAAAUUUUCUUUACGAUUCCACGAACUUUUCUAAGAUUUUACUUCUUACACACGUUUUAGGUAUCGAUCUUUAUUAGUCUUGUCCGUGGCAUCUGAUCGCAUCCAUAAAUUUUUCUUUACCUU